CUCUCCCAGCUGCGCCAGAGGGGGCGCGGUCUACAGCGCUGGGCUAACAUCCCGCCGCCGCCCGGAGCCGGGUCUUGCUCGCGCUCUCGCGAGAGAGCCGUCAUCUCUCCGGUGCCCGGGAGAGGGGCCGGGCGGGACGGUACAGCAACCGGAGGAACCUUGAUUCCCUGCCCCGCAAGCCCAGCACCGGUUUUGCCGCCUUGUCUCGAAGGGUCAACCAGGCCAUCUCCUGCCUCGGGACGGAGAGCGCCCUGGAAAAGGCGGAGGGGCCGACCUUAGUCACACAAGAGCGAUGGCAAGAUUUUCACCCAAGCCAUCUGACUUGGAACCCAUGGAUUAACCAACUGCCACUGGAGGCAAAUCCAGAGACCAAGGGAGCAGUUUAUACAGAAACAGAAAAAUUAGCCGGGCAUGGUGGUGGGCGCCUGUAGUCCCAGCUACUCGGAAGGCUGAGGCAGGAGAAUGGUGUGAACCCAGGAGGCGGAGGUUGCAGUCAGCCGAGAUCGCGCCACUGUACUCCGGCCUGGGUGACAGAGCGAGACUCCAUCUCAAAAAAAAAAAAAACAGAAGACAACCAUGUGAAGGCAGGGAGACACAGAGACAGCACCAUGUGACGACAGAAAAUUGGAUUAAUAUAUCUAUAAGCCAAAGAAUGCCAGAUCGCCAGCAAACCACCAGAAGUAAGGAAGAGGCAAAGAAGGAUUCCCCUACAGGUUUCAGAGAGGGAGCAUGGCCCUGCUGACACCUUGAUUUGGACUUCUUCCCACUAGAACUGUGAUACAAUAAAUUUCUGCUGUCUUAAGCCACUCAGUUUGCAGUAUUUUGUUACAGAGGCCCUAGGAAAUUAACACAGUGCCCUUCUUUCUUGAACCAUGGACAGCAGUUGGUAAAAGGGAACGUGAUGUCAUUCAGAACAUGAUAAAAGAGGGCUGUCCGCUGACUCCCCUCUGAACCUCAGGUGCCCUGGCUUCCCAGGGCAGGAGCCCCAUCCGGGGGCUGUGAUGAAGGGGCCUGCUACCCAGGCACCAUCACCACCACAUACUACUUGGGAAUUUUUUAGCUAGUUAUUUAAGAUCCUGAUUCUGGUUCUGUUUAAUGGGUGGCUGUCAGGAAUAUGGUUGGCCAUAUUUCCCAGCUUCCCAGAGCCCCCUCCAUUCUUCCCAGCUUCUUCCAAUUGGAAUUUAGUUUAGAAAUGGAGCCUAAGAAACUCUGCAGACUCCUUCAGGUAGGGUGAGGUUCUAUCCACAGCCAAUUUAGGUCCUUUAACUACAGCAAGGUUCAUGCAUGUAGAGAAGCAAUUAAAUCAUCAAACACUGUUACUUACCUCAUUUGAUUCAAUGGGAGAUACCUUCUGGUCCAACUAUUGAGAUCCUCCUGGAGGCCACCCAACCAUGCUGGAUGCCUGUGUAUGGGCAUUUGAAUUGCUUGAAUCUGUAGGGAAACUGCAGUGAACCCUUUCUGGGUAAGGUUUGCAAUCUCAUGUACCAUAUUUAUUUUGUUAGUUUGCAUACCCUUAGGCACACAGUUGCAGCUGAGAUGGUCUGAAACAGCAAGACCCAGAAGUCUCGCAGAAUUUCAGGGAGACAGGAGCUUCCCUGGGGAUGAGACAUUUGGCCAAGGUGACCCACUCCUAGGAGUGAUGGGGCAGAGUACAUAGCAAUAUGAGAACUUAGACACUGCACCCAAAUUUUCCAUUGCCACCAACCUCCACACAUCCCCUCCUAUUUCUCUGGAACCAUUUUCUGGAUUUACCUAUUCUAAAACCUAGCAAAUUUCUUAGUAAUCUCUGUCUCCCAUUUGAUCAGGCACACCAGUUUCCCACAGAUGAAUGCAUUCUACCCAGGACUGCCAUGAGCCUAUUCAGUGGCAUUAUGCAAAUUAGGCAACAGGUGUUCCAUUCCAUAGACAGGCACAGCCCUGUGCGAGGCUUCAUGGUGAGUGGAGUGCAGAAGCCCAGCCUGGACUUCAGCCCCUACUUGCCCUUGGGUUGGAUGCCCGUGUGCAGGGCUUGACCUGCAUGGCCCUCUGAGACACUUUUGUAGUUGGAG
rnacentral:lncRNA from 10 species